AUAACCUAAUCAAAAGAUGUCACCAAUACCAAGCACCAAUGUAGGAGAUAAACAAUGUGCAAGUGUCCAAUGAGUUAAUGAAAGCUCAUGAUGCCAUAUUUUGUGAUGAAUUACUUACUAAACAGUCCUACUAAGAAAAAUGUGAAUAAUAUUAUUUUAUCUUGUCUGUUUUAUUUAGUCGGCAAGACCAUCCAUGGACUCAUUACCGGAGGACGUCGUGAGGCGUUGGCAGAGCAGCAAGAGCUGGAACGUGCAUUUGACCGAGAGCGAGCUUUUAACUGAGCCUAUGACGGUCCAUCUGAAAGAGCAACUCUGAAACUUUGUCUGAAAAGAAAUGCUUCUUGUUCUUCAUCGUGAAAAAAUAUUGAAUAGACUCACUGGGCUAAAAUAUUUUUUACAUUUAUUUUAAAUAAUGUCAUUUGAAUUAAAUCCUCAAACUGUAAUUUGCCAAAAAUAUUUCUCACUUGUAUUAUUUAAAUGAAAGAAUCUGAAUAAAUUCAAAUGCAAAUGA